rnacentral:rRNA from 1 species
GAUGAACGCUAGCGACAGGCUUAACACAUGCAAGUCGAGGGGCAGCACGAUUGAAGCUUGCUUUAAUUGGUGGCGACCGGCGCACGGGUGAGUAACGCGUAUGCAACCUACCCAUCAGAGUGGGAUAACCCGGCGAAAGUCGGACUAAUACCGCAUAAAACAGGGAUCCCGCAUGGGAAUAUUUGUUAAAGGAUUAAUUGCUGAUGGAUGGGCAUGCGUUCCAUUAGAUAGUUGGUGAGGUAACGGCUCACCAAGUCUGCGAUGGAUAGGGGUUCUGGGAGGAAGGUCACCCACACGGGUACUGGGACACGGACCAGACUCCUACGGGAGGCAGCAGUGAGGAAUAUUGGUCAAUGCGCGGGAGCCUGAACCAGCCAAGUCGCGUGAAGGAUGACUGCCCUAUGGGUUGUAAACUUCUUUUAUUGGGGAAUAAUGGGUGGGACGUGUCCUGCAAGCGAAUGUACCCUAUAAAUAAGCAUCGGCUAACUCCGUGCCAGCCGCCGCCGUAA